rnacentral:rRNA from 1 species
AUGGCUGCCAUACUUGAAACUUUGCUUAAAUCAAGUGUCAAUAAGUUGCAAGAUGUAAUUACAGAUGAGGCCAUACUAAUCCUAGGGGUGGAAGAAGAGCUCACAAAACUGCUGCGGCGAGUGGAACUAAUUGAGUGUUGUAUAUACGAUGCUGAGAAAAGAAGAACAAAAGAGCAAGCAGUAAACAACUGGCUUGGUCAACUGAGAGAUGUUAUAUAUGAUGUUGAUGAAAUCCUGGAUGUGGCUAGAUGUAAAGGAAGCAAGCUACUGCCUGACGAUCCUUCAUCAUCAUCAAGCAAAUCGGUUGCAUGUAAAGGCCUCUCGGUUUCCUCUUGCUUUUGUAGCAUCAGGUCACGUCGUGAUGUUGCUGUUCGGAUUAGAAGCCUGAAUAAAAAGAUUGAGAACAUUGCAAAUGACAAGAUAUUUUCAACUUUCAAUAAUAGUACACAGCCUAUUGGAAAUGGUCAACCAUCAAAACUUAUAAGAAGUUCCAACCUUGUUGAGCCCAACCUUGUGGGGAAGGAGAUUGUACAUUCUACCAGGAAGUUAGUAGACUUAGUUCUUGCACACAAGGAAUACAAGUCUUACAAGCUCGGUAUUGUUGGAACCGGAGGAGUUGGUAAGACAACACUAGCUCAAAAAAUAUACAAUGAUCAGAAAGUAAAAGGAAGCUUCAAGAUGCACGCAUGGAUUUGUGUUUCACAAGACUACAAUCAAAUAACUCUUCUUAAAGAGGUUCUCCGGAAUAUUGGUGUGCAUCAUGAGCAAGGUGAAACCAUAACAGAGCUGCAGAGGAAGCUUGCAGAAACAAUUGAAGGGAAGAGUUUCUUUCUGGUUCUAGAUGAUGUGUGGCACUCCAAUGUAUGGACGGAUUUUUUAAGACCUGCAUUACAUGAAACAACUGCCGGAGUAAUAUUGGUAACCACACGAGAUGAUCAAAUUACAAAGAGAAUAGGUGUAUACCAUACUCACCAAGUUGAUCUCAUGUCAGUAGAGGUGGGAUGGGAGCUACUUUGGAAGAGCAUGAACAUUGAUGAAGAGAAAGAAGUGCAGAAUUUAAGAAAUACGGGGAUUGAGAUUGUUCGUAAAUGUGGUUGCCUUCCUCUUGCAAUCAAGGUUACUGCUAGUGCCUUGGCAAGUAGAGAUCUAACGGAGAAUGAGUGGAGAAAGUAUUUGAUCAAAUAUGUUGGAUCUGAGAGCAUCCUCUUGGAUGAAAUAGAAGAGGCUUUGUAUCUUAGCUAUGAUGAGUUACCACAUCGUCUGAAGCAAUGUUUCCUAUAUUGUGCUCUGUAUGCUGAAGAUUCUGUCAUUCACCGUAAUCAAGUUACCCAGUUAUGGAUUGCUGAAGGCUUCAUCGAGGAGCGGCAAGGUCAACUAAUAGAAGACAUGGCAGAAGAGUACUACUAUGAGCUAAUUCAUCGGAAUCUCCUCCAGCCAGAAAUGAUAAGUUUUGACCACGCUAAAUGUAGAAUGCAUGACCUCUUAAGACAACUUGCUUGUAAUAUAUCAAGAGAAGAAUGUUUUAUUGGAGAUGUUGAAACAUUAAGGGAUGGAAAUAUGUCAAAACUUAGACGUGUUACUGCUGUCAGUAAUAAGGAUAUGUUAGUGUUACCUAGAGUGGAUAAGGUGGAUGUUAAGGUCAGGACUUUCCUAACUGUUAAGGGUCCACGGAGAAUUGAGGAUACAUUGUUCAAAAGAUUUCUGCUUCUUCGUGUUUUGGUACUGAAUUACACACUUGUGCAAAGCAUUCCGGAUUAUAUAGGAAAAAUGAUACAUUUACGCCUACUGAAUCUAGAUUAUACUAGCACAUCUUGUCUUCCGGAAUCCAUUGGCUCCCUAAAGAACCUUCAAGUACUGAGCUUGAGAUCGUGUCAUGAUCUGCACAAUCUUCCUUCCGCAGUGACCCAGUUGAGCAGUUUAAGAUGUCUUGAUCUUUUUGACACGGAAAUAAAUCGAGUUCCAAAAGGGAUAGGGAAACUGAAAUUCCUCACUUUUGUAAGGGGUUAUCCCGUUGUUGAUGGAAUUGAUAAUGCUGACGUACAAGAUGGAUGGAAGUUGGAAGAGUUGUCUUCUUUGUCGCAGAUGAGGUAUGUUUGUCUUGUUAAAUUGAAAAGACUGGCUCAUUGCAGUACAGGUGCAGUGCUGACAGACAAAAAACAUCUAAAAGAACUAGUACUAGAGUGGACUGAACGUGGAGAGGGAUCAUAUUCAGAAGAAGAUAUUAGCAAUACUGAGAAGGUAUUUGAGCAGCUAAUACCUCCACAUAGCCUGGAAGACCUAUGUAUUUCUAGAUUCUUUGGUCGGCAGUAUCCCACCUGGUUUGGUACCACAUGUUUGUAUUCACUGAUACACCUGAGACUCCGAAAUGUACGAUCAUGUGUGGAACUUCCACCAAUCUGGCAGCUACCCAACUUGAAAUAUCUGAGAAUUGAUGGAGCACAUGCAGUUAGCAAGGUUGGACCUGAAUUUGUUGGCUGCAAGAAGGGUGAUCCUGUCUGUAAUGAGAUUGUUGCUUUCCCUAAACUUGAAUGGUUGAUCUUCACGGAUAUGCCCAACUGGGAGGCGUGGUCUUUUUUUGAGGAAGAAGUUGCUGCUGAUGAACGGGGAGAGGAUGCCCAAUCUGCAAGGUUUCUACGGCUGCCUAGUUUGGUACUGUUGAGACUCGAAGGCUGCCUGAAGCUGAGGGCUCUCCCGCCACAACUUGGAAAGGAGACCACCAGCUUGAAAGAGCUCAGAUUAAUUGGUACAAACAGCUUGAAGGCCGUGGAGGACCUCCCGUUUCUCUCUGAGCUCCUUAACAUUCAGAAAUGUGAAGGCCUGCAGAGGAUCUCCAACCUCCCUCAAGUGACAGGCCUGCAAUUACAUGGCUGUCCAAACCUAAGCCAUGUAGAGGGGUUGGUAAGUUUGCAGCAGCUGGGGCUGGGUGAGGAUAUGCAAGAGAUCUCUUCCUGCUGGAUGUCUGGGCUUCAAAACCAGCACCAACGGCUUCAUGGCGAAGACCUGGACAUCUACACUUUGUCUACCAGUUAG